AUUGAACGCUGGCGGCAGGCCUAACACAUGCAAGUCGAACGAGUGGCGGACGGGUGAGUAAUGUCUGGGAAACUGCCCGAUGGAGGGGGAUAACUACUGGAACCGGUAGCUAAUACCGCAUACUAUCGGAUGUGCCGAGGUGGGAUGAGAUAGUGGGGGGGGUAACGGCUAACCUAGGCGACGACCCCUAGCUGGUCUGAGAGGAUGACCAGCCACACUGGAACUGAGACACGGUCCAGACUCCUACGGGAGGCAGCAGUGGGGAAUAUUGCACAAUGGGCGAAAGCCUGAUGCAGCCAUGCCGCGUGUAUGAAGAAGGCCUUCGGGUUGUAAAGUACUUUCAGCGAGGAGGCGUUACUCGCAGAAGAAGCACCGGCUAACUCCGUGCCAGCAGCCGCGGUAAUAC
rnacentral:rRNA from 1 species